rnacentral:rRNA from 1 species
ACGCUAGCUACAGGCUUAACACAUGCAAGUCGAGGGGAAACGGCAUUAAGUGCCUGUACUUUUUGGACGUCGACCGGCGCACGGGUGAGUAACGCGUAUCCAACCUUCCCAUGACUAAGGGAUAACCUGCCGAAAGGCAGACUAAUACCUUAUGGUCUUCACUGACGGCAUCAGAUGUGAAGUAAAGAUUUAUCGGUUAUGGAUGGGGAUGCGUCUGAUUAGCUUGUUGGCGGGGUAACGGCCCACCAAGGCGACGAUCAGUAGGGGUUCUGAGAGGAAGGUCCCCCACAUUGGAACUGAGACACGGUCCAAACUCCUACGGGAGGCAGCAGUGAGGAAUAUUGGUCAAUGGGCGAGAGCCUGAACCAGCCAAGUAGCGUGCAGGAUGACGGCCCUAUGGGUUGUAAACUGCUUUUGUAUGGGGAUAAAGUCAAUCACGUGUGAUUGUUUGCAGGUACCAUACGAAUAAGGACCGGCUAAUUCCGUGCCAGCAGCCGCGGUAAUACGGAAGGUCCGGGCGUUAUCCGGAUUUAUUGGGUUUAAAGGGAGCGUAGGCUGGAGAUUAAGUGUGUUGUGAAAUGUAGACGCUCAACGUCUGACUUGCAGCGCAUACUGGUUUCCUUGAGUACGCACAACGUUGGCGGAAUUCGUCGUGUAGCGGUGAAAUGCUUAGAUAUGACGAAGAACUCCGAUUGCGAAGGCAGCUGACGGGAGCGCAACUGACGCUGAAGCUCGAAGGUGCGGGUGUCGAACAGGAUUAGAUACCCUGGUAGUCCGCACAGUAAACGAUGGAUGCCCGCUGUUGGUACUUGGUAUCAGCGGCUAAGCGAAAGCAUUAAGCAUCCCACCUGGGGAGUACGCCGGCAACGGUGAAACUCAAAGGAAUUGACGGGGGCCCGCACAAGCGGAGG